ensembl:lncRNA
GUCUAAAAUAAAUAUGAGAGAAAGGUAAAUGAUGAAUGAGAUGGUUCAAAUUUAAGUACGAGGUCCAAAGCACACUUCUGUACAUAUUAAUAUAUAUUAGAAAAACACAAAAUGGUUCAGUCCAUCCCACGCUUGACUCACUUUUAUAGCACAACUGAUUUAUUCUGCCUAGGCGAGCGCUAAUGCACACUGUGAGUCAUGUCUUUCUACAAGAAAGCAAAAUCAAAUAAUUACAAGAAAGAAAAGAGAGGGGCAGAAAGCAGUUCCUAAGAAACGCUGUUUCCAAAGAAAGAGACAUGAAAGUGCCCCUAUUUGUCCUGUGGAAGUCAAAAUACAUCCACUUACCCGUGUUCCCACUCCCAACAGCUAGACCUUGGACCACUACAUCCGAUCUCUCGGAGACUUGAGGUUGAAGAUUCACAGCUGCCUCCAAAGAGGCGAGAUUGUCUAAAGAGAAGAUGCUCCACUGAGUUGUCUGCGACAAUGGUCAGAACCUGGAUAGUGCAUCAUGAUGGAGGUGUUUAAUACAACAGAACUGAACAUGGCACUGAUUGGUGAUCCAUUAAACUCCAUAACAUAGCUUAUGUCCAAAGAUUUAAACAGUUUGUCCUCAUUGGCAGUACUUUAGCAAAAGUCUAUGACCUGUUUGCCUAAAUUAUUAUCAUUAUUAUUAGUAUUCUUUUUUAUCAAAGAAGGCAAAGAACAUCCAGUCACAUGACAAUACAACUACUAACUUCAUGCUCAUUACCCAUGCAUGGUUCAGUUGAAAUAAACUCCAGAAAACUGAUAUCUAUUCACCUUUUUGUUAUAAUUUACGUAAAGUAUUACAUCUUACAUUGUAAUACUGUAUACAGACAACUUGUGUGAUGCAUUCAUCUAGUUUUUAAUCAUAUAUACAUUCAUAAUUAAAAUAAUACUCACAGCAAAGGC